rnacentral:misc_RNA from 1 species
AAAAUAAGUUCUACCAUGGUGAUGGCUACAAGUUUAAACCUUUCUCAUUUGCCUCAACAACUGAGGAUGAUGAUUAGUGAACUUACUCGCCUUUCCACUUUUGGAUGAGAGGAUAGUCUGGAGAGGCAGGGAUUUUUUUUUGUCAACAAUAGAGACCUAUAAAAUGAAAAAUACAGAACUUCAUUCCAGCUGGCAGAGAAUUAGCAGCUUUUUGCUCUAACAUUAAGCUGCACAGAUUAACUUAGAACUGUGAAAUGCUGACUCAUAUUCUUUGGGUGUGGUGGUAUAUAUAAGGGCUUGCUUACAGCGGUGGCAAUCCAAUAGAUGUUGUAUUUCUUGUUUUUUGUUCUUACAGAGAGAGAGAUGGAGGGGGCUUUGCCUUUUUCUUUCUCCUUGGAGGGGGGCGAUUGGCGAGGGUU